ACCUGGGGUCUGUUGUUCAACUUGUCGUUAGGGCUAACGCGUCGUUAAAAUUUCUUAAUCAUUCGAUUAAAAUUAAUCAUAUGAUUAGUGUGUUGUUCAACUUGUCGUUAAUUUUAACGCUGCGUUAAAAAGGCUAAAACUGUCGUUAAACUUAAUCCACCUCUUUGAGGUGUAUUAAAUUUUAAUCAUAUGAUUAAAGCAUCCAAGAUGGCUGCUGUAUCAAUGCAAAAAUUAGUUUAUCCUCGAAAUAUGAGGCGUUUAAGAGAUAUUUAGCUCCUGGAAAGAGAUUUCAGCCAUAAAAUACCUUAAUAUUUGAAAGAAACACAAUAUAGUUGCUAGGAGUUGAGUUGAAACAUAAAUUGGAAAGAGAUUUGACAAGAUGGGGCGAAGGAUCGGACGCACUCAUACAACGGGCAUUUGAUAACAGAGAGAAAUUGCACAUUUCGGCAGUUUUUCGUUUGUAUUUUACCGCUCAGUGACAGUGUUGAUUGCAAAAAAAACUAAACGUACGCUGAGACGGGCCACAUGUUAUUGUGCGGAACCAUUCAGCAAAUUAUGACGAACAGCUUUCAUAAAUAAAUAAUGUUACCAUAGCAUUAAUGUACAGGCC
rnacentral:lncRNA from 1 species